rnacentral:rRNA from 1 species
AGAACGAACGCUGGCGGCAUGCCUAACACAUGCAAGUCGAACGAGAUCUUCGGAUCUAGUGGCGCACGGGUGCGUAACGCGUGGGAAUCUGCCUUUCGGUACGGAAUAACUCAGGGAAACUUGUGCUAAUACCGUAUGAUGUCGCGAGACCAAAGAUUUAUCGCCGAAAGAUGAGCCCGCGUAGGAUUAGCUAGUUGGUGGGGUAAAGGCCUACCAAGGCGAUGAUCCUUAGCUGGUCUGAGAGGAUGAUCAGCCACACUGGGACUGAGACACGGCCCAGACUCCUACGGGAGGCAGCAGUGGGGAAUAUUGGACAAUGGGCGCAAGCCUGAUCCAGCAAUGCCGCGUGAGUGAUGAAGGCCUUAGGGUUGUAAAGCUCUUUGUGCGGGAAGAUAAUGACGGUACCGCAAGAAUAAGCCCCGGCUAACUUCGUGCCAGCAGCCGC